rnacentral:lncRNA from 1 species
UACUUUGUGAACAAAUUUUGGAAUUGCAUAAAAAUUGAUAAUUUCAUUACAAAUUUUUAAAUCAAUACACUUGAAUGUUAUAAUAUGAUACAACACCACCUAACUAAAAAGGAGUAGGGAUUGAAAAGUUCCUGUUGCAUCCUCCAUAAAGCUCGAAACUAUAAUAAACUAUUUAAACUACAAAUUACAUAGAAACAAUGGCAUUGAGGAUGAAGGGACAAAACCGUGAUUAUAACAUAAAAUUCACCAGGCUGAUUACCCACAGGAUCUGAAAUUUGCUCUACAACAUUAUUGAAAGUUAUUGGUUGCUGUCAAAGAAUCCUUAUUUGUUGAGAUUACAUCUUCUGGAAUGUCUUAGAGAUUGUCAAAAACAGCAUCUAAAGGAUAAACUUUGGUGAUUUCCAUCAAAGAAGCAGCUGGCAAACUAACAUAAAUUCUUUCUCAACAAAAGAGAUUUCUCUCACGUUCUCUUUGUUAGGUUAAAAAAUGAAAGGAUUAUGAUUAUAAAAUCUUACACGUGUGCUUAAUCAAAUUUCCCUCACCGCAGGCUCUUUUCAAAAAUGUUUAAAGCCUAUGUGAAGUAAUUCAAUAAUUUAACUAAAGGUUAAACAUGCUGAGUAAAAGCAAAUAUAUGCAGAUAGGAAUUUCAGAUAUUCUACUUACAGGCACCCAUGUGCCAACAAGAAUUUCAGCUUCUGCUGCAACUAGUGAUUUUGCAAUAGCGCAACCAUAUCCGUUAUCAUCAACAAUGCUUGCUAUAAAUGCUCUUUUCCCUAAAACAGCAUUUACAGCUUCGUCACAAAAAUACAUAUGUUAUACUGUGUUAUCAACACAUAGAGGAGCAACCAGCAAAAUCUUGGUAUUACACUAAUGUAGAGACCAUUUAAUCUUCAUUAUUCCUAACAAACAAGAACUUUGCUACAGACUAUUAAGAUAACAAACAAUAAUCUUUAGAGCACAAAUACCAUCCAUUCCCAGUAACUGUAAAAUAUUCAAACUACCUUGACAGGCUUGCACAUUGUUGAAUAAUCGACCUCCAAUAGGUGGAUUUUUCGGGCUCAGUUUCACCAAUGUCAACACCACAAUGAACUCAAACCCAAUCGACUAAAACGAUUUCUUCCCUUCACGGUUGCUUUACUUACCCACAAAGAGCUCACCAAGAUGUACUGUUCCACACAGGAAAUGAUCACAAAGUAAUCACAGGUGAAGAACAACCGAAUAGACAGAAGAGAAAACGGGAAGAAGACUCCAAUUGCACACAUGGGUCUAUUUGGAGGCAGUGAGUAAGAAGCAAGUAUAUAGCCCAAGUAAGGAGUCCAAAUAUGGUAAGUCAGGUAUAGGUUAAAGUCACGGCCCAAAGGCCCAACACUCAAGUCAAUGGGCUCCAAAAUGGGCAACAACGUAAAGCCCUCCAAGUAAAGGUGAAACGGGCCACGAGCGACACUAUUAAAUUAGGUCACUUCUAGUGGUCCAUACAAUAUGGGUUUGGGUCAUUCUAAUAGUAGCGUUGACAUUUCGUUCAGCCAUUUGGUCCAAGCCGACUGAUAAUAAAAACCGGUUUUACAUCAUAGCCCUGAGAGUUAUUGGGUAUCAAAACCUAACAAUCUCCAUCUUGAUGCCCAAUAACCUGCAAGCAAUCAAAAAACACAUAGUUUAUACUUGCAAAAUCAAGGUAAUCCAAUAAAAUUGGGCUCACAGACCUUAUCGCGUGUUUCCAACCUGAAACACACACCAUACCUGCUUCGUAUACUCACCAGGGCUAAGGUCAAGAACACCCAGGUAGAAACAAAUACUUGAAGUGAACAACUAAUCAUGCGAUAAAGAUAUUAUAUAGGAUACCUCACACAAAUCUUUUCAAAUUCACGUUCACACAGAACUACCGAUUAAUACCAAGUUAAUCAGCACACGAUCAAACACAUAUGCAACACAUGCAUAAAUGACCUCACGAGAGAUCUCACCACAUUUAUCCUAUCCCAUUUCGUGUUACUCCCACCUCAAGAACACAUAUCUCCUCUCAUCGCCGCCAUGCUCACUAAAUAGAUCACACAACUCAUGUCAAAAUGGCAAGUCACAAUAGAUCCUAAGUUUUAGGGAUAAUCCUUUAUCACCACGUCGCUUCUCUCAACCUAUGUGGAUAAUGGGACUCCACCUUACAGAAGUGAUAGAAGUGUCUCUCUUGCACUCCACAUGUACAGGGUCUCUUUCACAGAUAAAGGAUUUUACACAUUUGAUCACAUCUCUACUCAUGAUCCAAAUGUCACACUCCACAUCCCCCUGUACAAAUCACCAUGUAUCCCUAGGCAUCUAUACUCCACCUUACCAAAAAAUAUCUAACACACUACUAAUGCAUCCUAACCCACUAUGCAUGCAAACGAUCACACUAAGUAAUCACAUCACCUCAAAUUCAUGCAAACACACAUAUCAAACAAAUUAAAAUGCAACAUAUAGUCAUGCAACAAAUUAGGCAAUCACACACAUACUGAAAGGAUCACACACAGAUGCAUAUGCAGUGACUAGAUUUACUCUAUCAAUAAACCCCACUGGGGUCAUAACUCGACCCCUCAACCACAUUCGUCUCACCUCUCACAUAACCUUCUGCUUAUCCUUCUUCUUGGGACAAUCCCUAAUAAAGUGUCCAGACAUACCAUAACUAUAACACCAUCUACCACUAGACUUGUCCCGUCCCUUGCCCUUUAUCUUACCACCUUCAUCACUCGAACCACCACUAUUUUGGGCUCUACCCAAAUUUAUUUUCUUAAACUUCAUCCCACUCCUUAUCAUGUGUAACUCACCACUCCUCUUAUCUUCAUAUUUAGCCUUCAUUUUCAUCUCCUUACUCCUAAGUGAGACUAUGAUAAUCAAUGGCAAUCUCGGGAGUCAAUGUAUCUCUACCAUACUUAAUAGCAUUUUUAACUUCCUUAUAUGACUCAGGCAUAGAAUUAAGCAAGAUUAUAGCCUUGUAGGUUUCAGAUACGGUUUCUUUACAUUUAACAAUAUCUUGGACAAAUUUAUUGAAAACAUCUAAAUUGUCAUCAAGAUCCUUUGAAGGGUCCAUUUUAAAACUGAAGAAACGCUCAAGAAGACAAAGUUUAUUAGGAAUGGAUUUAAGCAAAUAUAGAUCUUCCAACUUUUUCCAAAGAUCUUUUAUGGU